AGAGUUUGAUCAUGGCUCAGGAUGAACGCUAGCUACAGGCUUAACACAUGCAAGUCGGAAGGGGAAACGACAUCGAAAGUCUUGUCUUUUGAUGGGCGUCGACCGGCGCACGGGUGAGUAACGCGUAUACCAACCUCGCCCCACCUACGUUGGGGAUUAACCUUGACGAAAGUAAGACUAAUACCCAAUGAUAUCUCUAGAAGACAUCUGAAAAAGAUUAAAGAUUUAUCGGUGAUGGAUGGGGAUGCGUCUGAUUAGCUUGUUGGCGGGGUAACGGCCCACCAAGGCAACGAUCAGUAGGGGUUCUGAGAGGAAGGUCCCCCACAUUGGAACUGAGACACGGUCCAAACUCCUACGGGAGGCAGCA
rnacentral:rRNA from 1 species